CCCUUAGAUGUUCUGGGCUGCACGCGCGCUACACUGAUGCGUUCAACGAGUUUUUGACCUUGCCUGACACGGUUGGGUAAUCUUGUUAAAACGCAUCGUGAUGGGGAUAGAUUAUUGCAAUUAUUGAUCUUCAACGAGGAAUUCCUAGUAAGCGUGAGUCAUCAGCUCGUGCUGAUUACGUCCCUGCCCUUUGUACACACCGCCCGUCGCUCCUACCGAUUGAAUGGUCCGGUGAAAUCUCGGGACGGCGGCUUGGUCGCUUGCGUCCGACUGCUGAAACUUGAUUAAACCAUAUCAUUUAGAGGAAGGUGAAGUCGUAACA
rnacentral:rRNA from 1 species